CCUACGGGAGGCAGCAGUGGGGAAUAUUGCACAAUGGGGGAAACCCUGAUGCAGCGACGCCGCGUGAAGGAAGAAGGUUUUCUGUAUGUUAACUUCUUUUAGCAGGGGAGAAAAUGACGGUACCUGACUCAGAAGCCCCGGCUAACUACGUGCCAGCAGCCGCGGGAAUACGGAGGGGGCAAGCGUUAUCCGGAUUUACUGGGUGUAAAGGGAGUGUAGGCGGGGAUGCAAGUCAGAAGUGAAAGCCAGCAGCUGAACUGCGGGACUGCAUUUGAAACUGUAUGACUAGAGUGCAGGAGAGGUAAGUGGAAUUCCUGGUGUAGCGGUGAAAUGCGUAGAUAUUAGGCGGAACACCAGUGGCGAAGGCGGCUUACUGGACUGUAAAUGACGCUGAGGCUCGAAAGCGUGGGGAGCAAACAGGAUUAGAUACCCGGGUAGUC
rnacentral:rRNA from 1 species